UACGUAGGGGGCUAGCGUUGUCCGGAUUUAUUGGGCGUAAAGAGCGUGUAGGCGACCAGGUAGGUCUGCUGUGAAAACUCGAGGCUCAACCUCGAGCUGUCGGCGGAAACCAUCUGGCUAGAGUCCGGAAGAGGAGAGUGGAAUUCCUGGUGUAGCGGUGAAAUGCGCAGAUAUCAGGAAGAACACCCGUGGCUAAGGCGGCUCUCUAGUACGGUACUGACGCUGAGACGCGAAAGCGUGGGGAGCGAACAGG
rnacentral:rRNA from 1 species